rnacentral:lncRNA from 1 species
GGAUCAUUGCCUCCAUCCCAGGCCUUGGGCUGAGAGCUGGCGGUUUAGCCCGCUAAGUUGUGUCUGACUCUUGCGACCCCAUGGACUAUAGCCUGCCAGGCUCCUGGAUUCUCCAGGCAAGAACACCAGAGCCUCAAUCCAGUUCAUCUGAAGUAAUUCAGCAAGCACCUGUUGAGUCUUCUAACUGCAGGGACUGGCCCCUAGGAGCAUCUGGGCUACGGAAGGAGGCGGCCAGACACCGGAUACACACCUAGAGAAGUUCAGAUGUGGCCAUUGCAUCUGAACCCCAACUCAGCGCAUGGUCUGACAGUGGGUUAUUUUAAAUUGUGAACGUAUGUAUAGGGAAGACGUU